rnacentral:lncRNA from 1 species
UUAACCGAUAUCAACUGUUUCCAACCCAUCACUACAUUGAUCUUGUCAGAAUUUACUGACACUCCAUCAUUUGAUACUAUGUGUCCUAAGAAGGAAGUAUGCCCAAGCUAGAAUCCACACUUACUCAACUUUGCAUAUAGUUUUUUUUUUCCUGAGAACCUGUACGACUUGAGCCUGAAGAUCCUGUUCAUCAAAUGUAUAAAGAUUACAGACGCGUUAG